rnacentral:sRNA from 2 species
CAUCAGGGUGACUAGGGUUCCGGCUGCCGACGCAGUGACUGGUCCGAGAGUCACCGGCCUCUCCUCCAGAGGGGUUACACGGCGGGAUAAAAGCCCGGGAGAC